rnacentral:tRNA from 1 species
GACUUUAAGUUAAAUAAACUAAAGACCUUCAAAGUCUUAAAUGAUCCAUGAUCAAGUCUUG